AGAUACAUGAGGUAGAUAAUGUGGUCCUGCCGAUGUUAACUCUGGAGGAUCUCAAAGACAUGGGGAUCAAUGCUGUUGGUUCAAGGAGGAAAAUUUACUCCGCAAUUCUCAAGCUGCAAAAAGAGUUUUUGUGAGUUCUCAAUGUUGUGCAUGAAUUGGUUUUAGCAUUUUUGGUUUGUGGGCUUCCUCCUUUUCUUUCUAGUAAUCUGAAUAAUGAUGAUAUAAUUUUGUUAUGGCAACGUAGUUUUGGAGUUAGUGUUGUAUUUUUGAUGUUGUCAUCUUACUAGGUGUUGUGAAAUGAAACCGUCAAUGUAUAGAAAAAAGAUGGCCAGGAAAGAAAGAUUGACUUUGUUAGACUACUAAGUCCUUGAAGCAUCUUAAUUCAGUCUUAUGGAUGUUUUUGAGUUAAAUCGAUGGCAUUCUGCUGUGAUUUUUCUCAGAACCUGGCCUCUUCGAUUGCCACAGUUGAGAGACGUUGACUUGGCUUUCUUUGUGAAAGAAAAUCGUGGACACAAAUUUUGAAGUUAGUCAAAGAGGUGAAAUCCGAUGGGGUCUGCCAAAUAUGAGUUUUAGGGAUUGAACUUUCUGGGGAGAAAUGUUUCCCAUUAGAAGAUGAUAGUGCUCAUGCAGAAAUCAUUUGAUGUCCUUUAAUUGUUGAUGAGUCAUUUCAGCAAAAAUAGCACCGAAGUUUGUUUUUCAUUUACUAUAGAAUCAGGGAAGUGGGUUGUCAUGUAAAAAAUGAUUCAUUGGGUUUUUGAGAAAUCUCGCUUGUAGUUGAGAGAAGUUGGCUUGGCUUUCUGUUUGAAAAAAAUUCUUCAUGCAAAUUUUGGAAGUUAAUGAAGGAGGUGAAUAAUCUGAUGGGUGGGGAGGUAUACUAAUCUGAUGAUAUCUAGAUUCUGGGUUAGAUAGAUUGAAAGCGCUACUUGUGCCACAGGAGUGCCACUCCAAGGUAUGCAUUUGUAAUUGCUAUGUAGGACUUCAAUUAUCAACUCUUAUAUUUGCUU